UGCCCUUAUGCAAAUUCCGACCAUUCUCUUUUGCACGCCUACCAUCCGUCUCCCCCUCUCUUCUCGCUACCCUAAUCCCAUCAAUUCUAAUCACAACCAUCAUCGGCUUAUUCCUCCAUCACCACCCAUAUUCUCUUCCUCGAUCUUCAACAAAAUGGUUUGGCUAUAGAAGCAUAUUGUUACAACUCGGUUGAUGUUAAUUGCAGAGAUUCUUACACAGCAAUAACACUCAUUUUGAAGUUUAUUUCGUAUGAAACAUCAAGUCAGCUUGGAUUUGAGUAUGAAGCUUUGACAGAGCAGAUUAG